UUGGAUGAUCAUCCUCAGCUGUGUAAUAAGUUUUUGUGUGAAGAAUUCCCGAUCUUGAAAUGCGAAUAUUCGGGUAGUGAGGAAGCCAUUUCUUUGAUUCAUUUUUCAUACAAAGAGAAAGGGUGCCUCGGUUUGCGGUUUACAGUUAUAGCAGCAAGCGUGACUGCUUGAUUCGUGGGGCUGAUUCUCUUGAAGCUCAUUCUAUAGAUAAUUUGUAUGUUUAAUGUUGUAGCUGUCAAAAACAGGACAUUUAAAUGAAAGGUUUUUGUUGUAUUUUAAGAUAUUCUGUAACUGUUAUAAUACCAGAAAUGUGAAUAUCAUGAACAGUUGGGUGUUUGCUUGGAUGGAUACCGGGGAUAAACGUUAUGUCGUAUAUGCUAUUGUUUACUUGGCUCCUUACUUAAGACCUCGGAUUCAAGCUGGUUGA
rnacentral:lncRNA from 1 species